UUCAAGACAUUCAGUUCGAAUCCACCGCUUUCUAACCUACAACCGUGCUAUUAAAAUGGGUUCCAAAAUGUUCGCGCUCGUCUGCCUCCUCCUCAUAGCGACGACGGUAGAAUCCCGAAUAUUCCGCGAACCACGCCGACUUGCUGACCCGACCCCACCACCCCCUCCCUUCCAGGAAGUCACCAGCGAGAAAUGUGAUGUUUUCAAGAAUAACUACUGUGGUACACUUGACUAUUCUAACCCACAAGAACAGUUUUUUAAUGGGAAGUGAAUAAAUGACAUUGUGUAAAA